rnacentral:misc_RNA from 1 species
UUUAUGUGUGAGACAAUUCCACUUGAGGAUCAAGCACAAACAAACAGGAUGCUUGUUGAUAAUUAAUAAAACAACCAAUACAAUUUUUUUUUUUCAUUUGUAGUCUAAAUUCUUAAGCAAUUGAGAAAGAAACAAUGGCGUUAAAAGUGCAUUCCUUUCACUUUUAGUCUGCCAAAAAGUCUGGCUCAGCUGGCUUCUCUAGCCCUUGUUGCUUAUGUUUGACAUUCCUUCUUGUGCUUUCAAUCAGACUCUCCGCAUACCUAUCCCAGAACGACCUUGGUGGUUGCAUUUCAAGCUCACUGCCACCCAGUUCAGCAAUUCUCUUAAAUUCUUUAUGGCGGCGCCAAGCUGCUUGUAUAGAACAUGCUGCCCAUGUUCUCCACUGAUGAGAAUAGAACCUGAACUUGUGCCUAAGCUGUUUACUAUUCACCCUUCUAAAUUGUGAUGCUACAAAUUUCAAAUCUUCUGCUACUAGAGCAAAUGCCUCCACUUCAGUAAUGGCCUUGAUUGUGCGUGUGGAUGAUGGAAGGGGGAUAUUGGACCGUGGAUCCAAUGCCCAUGUCACCAACUCCUCACCACAGAAGUCACCUGGUCCGAUAAGAUAGGAGUCCAAAAAUCCAGCACGGCCACCAUUGGCGGUGUAAGAAUCAAGGCGACCUCUUAUUAUGAAAACCAUUUGGUUGACAGGAUCACCUUCACGCAUAAGAAACAUGCCUCUGGUGCACAAUGCAGCCUUAAGCCUCUCACAUAUUGCAUCUAGCAUAGUUUCAUCCAUUUGAUUAAACAAUGGCACUCGUCGAAGGAGGUCAAAGCAAAGGUGGUUUUUCACUUUUCUCUGAAGAUCAGUAGGAAGGCUUUUGACGAGGGAUUCUUCAUCAACCCCUUUAGUAGACAGCCACUUAUAUAAAUCAUAUUUUCGAACAAUCUGCCUUAGAUCUGGAGGUAGGUGCCUAUGAUGCAUCCAGUGUUCUGUAUCAGUUCUCUUAAUCUUCCAUUCUUCUAGCCGGAUGGUUGUGGAUUGGAGGUAUCUUUGCAUAUUUCCAAUGAGCAAUGCAAGAAGUAUAAGACCAAGAGUCACAAGGAUGAUCACAAAUAUAUUUUCUCCAAUGUCAAUGCUUGUAGUAAAACUUUGGCCAAGAGUACUCAGGUUCUUUAAACCCCACCAGAGGCAGUAAAAGUAUUUCCUCAAGAAUGCUAAACCUUGAACAUUGUAUAUCACUGCAUCACUGUAUAUGCCAAAUGGAAACAAGUUAUUAUUCGGAUCACAUUGACUCGUGACAUUGCUUGACUUGAACCACUCAAUCCUGUGAGGAUUUUCAACCGUGCGGCAAUCGAAAAAUCCAAUUUGACAUUGUGGAUUCUCAAGAUUGCAGGCACUUUUCCAGCAGUCUUCUUGUCGCUCCAUUGAUAGAAGGUACCACCAAGCUCCUGAAGCAUGGCCUGUCAACAUGAAAAGCAAAAGAUUGUAAGCAGCUCCCGUCCGUGCUUUUUUACUCACAACACCAGCACCCUCUAUAAUUUGUGAAGAAAGGGGGAAUAAAAGACAAAUUCUUGGAACGUACUGAAGCACAAGAAUGAGCCAAAGAAGGUCCCUUCUCUUUGUCACUACAACACCUUCAAGAUUGGGAAGAAUUACCCAAGCAAAUAUCUGAGGAAUGGGAAGUGCAGCAAAGAGGUCUAACAAAAAGCUUUUUCUUAGAUAGCUUAAUGCAAUUUUUGAUGAGUCUAUAACAAGCUCUCCUCUCCCAACAACGCGGGAAGAUGGUGCAACAUAAGCUGUAUGAAAUCUAAUUAUUAUAUGAAUCACAUAAAACACAUCAAGCAAUGAUCUUAUGAGGGUAAGGACUUUUUUGAGGGAUACUGCAAUUUCUAUGCAGAGUUCUUU